UUUCCCCAGAGGACGGGAAAAUUAGGAAAGACCGAAAGAUAGACCCACCAGUCUUCGGAGCGCUCUCAUCUGUGCGUCCUGGGCAGAGCGAGAGACUUGGCGGAAUGCGGGUAGGAGAACCGGUCUCGGGUUGCCGCCAGGGGAUCCAUUGCGUGAGAGGCAGGUCCGACUUAUGCUGGGGGCACUUGGAGUUGAGGAACCACAGAGUCCACUGAACCGGAUUAAUCUUUUAUCCCUCAGGGCUUCUCAGGCCCUGCAUGGAGGAAUCCAGGAGCUGGACAAAGACCAACUGAAACUAGACUUGCCAAAGAUGCUAUUUGUGGUCACAGAAACAUAGAGCUGGACAUGACCUUAAGAAGUCACCUGAGCAGACACUGUGAUGGGCACUGUAGUAGCUCUAUUGCUCAGACUUGGUUUUUGUUUGACUUUUGCUGCUCUGAACUUUAAUUCCUAAAAACACUGCAUUUUUAAGGAAAAACACAAAAUAUUAGCAGUUAUAAUAAAUAGGUAUUUUAUUGCAUGCUUUUCGUGCAUCUAUUAAGAUGAUCAUAUGGGUAUUCUCCUUUAAUCUGUUAAUGAGAUCAGUUACAUCAAUAAACUUUCUAAUGGUAAA
rnacentral:lncRNA from 10 species